rnacentral:rRNA from 1 species
GACAGGGGGGUGCAAACGUUUGUUCGGAAUUACUGGGCGUAAAGCGCGUGUAGGCGGCUAAGUAAGUCGGGCGUGAAAUCCCACGGCUCAACCGUGGAAGUGCACUCGAAACUGCAUAGCUAGAGUCCUGGAGAGGAAGGUGGAAUGCUUGGUGUAGAGGUGAAAUUCGUAUGAUAUCAAGCGGAACACCGGUGGCGAAGGCGGCCUCUGGACAGUGACUGGACGCUG